UACGGGGGGAGCAAGCGUUGUUCGGAUUUACUGGGCGUAAAGGGCGCGUAGGCGGUGGCACAAGUCAGUUGUGAAAUCUCCGGGCUUAACUCGGAAAGGUCAACUGAUACUGUGCGACUAGAGUGCAGAAGGGGCAACUGGAAUUCUCGGUGUAGCGGUGAAAUGCGCAGAUAUCAGGAGGAACACCGGUGGCGAAGGCGGAUCUCUGGGCCUUACCUGACGCUGAGGCGCGAAAGCUAGGGGAGCGAACAGG
rnacentral:rRNA from 1 species